rnacentral:rRNA from 1 species
GAUGAACGCUGGCGGCGUGCUUAACACAUGCAAGUCGAACGAAGCACCUUGAUUUGCUUCUUCGGAUGAAGAUCUUGGUGACUGAGUGGCGGACGGGUGAGUAACGCGUGGGUAACCUGCCUCAUACAGGGGGAUAACAGUUAGAAAUGACUGCUAAUACCGCAUAAGACCACAGCACCGCAUGGUGCAGGGGUAAAAACUCCGGUGGUAUGAGAUGGACCCGCGUCUGAUUAGGUAGUUGGUGGGGUAACGGCCUACCAAGCCGACGAUCAGUAGCCGACCUGAGAGGGUGACCGGCCACAUUGGGACUGAGACACGGCCCAAACUCCUACGGGAGGCAGCAGUGGGGAAUAUUGCACAAUGGGGAAACCCUGAUGCAGCGACGCCGCGUGAGCGAUGAAGUAUUUCGGUAUGUAAAGCUCUAUCAGCAGGGAAGAAAAUGACGGUACCUGACGAAGAAGCACCGGCUAAAUACGUG